ACGAACGCUGGCGGCGUGCUUAACACAUGCAAGUCGAACGGAAAGGCCCUGCUUUUGUGGGGUGCUCGAGUGGCGAACGGGUGAGUAACACGUGAGUAACCUGCCCUUGACUUUGGGAUAACUUCAGGAAACUGGGGCUAAUACCGGAUAGGAGCUCCUGCUGCAUGGUGGGGGUUGGAAAGUUUCGGCGGUUGGGGAUGGACUCGCGGCUUAUCAGCUUGUUGGUGGGGUAGUGGCUUACCAAGGCUUUGACGGGUAGCCGGCCUGAGAGGGUGACCGGCGACAUUGGGACUGAGAUACGGCGCAGACUCCUACGGGAGGCAGCAGUGGGGAAUAUUGCACAAUGGGCGGAAGCCUGAUGCAGCAACGCCGCGUGCGGGAUGACGGCCUUCGGGUUGUAAACCGCUUUCGGCUGUGACGAAGCGUGAGUGACGGUAAUGGGUAAAGAAGCACCGGCUAACUACGUG
rnacentral:rRNA from 1 species